rnacentral:lncRNA from 1 species
CCUUUUAUUAUGCAGAACCACUUACUGGAAAAUUCCCCAACCAAAUCUAAAAGCUUCCAAGUAAAAUCAAAUCCGAAAAUGAAAUUUAACAAAUAAAUGUUAUUCAGGGAGAUAAGUACAUAAUAUUAUCAAAAGAGUUAGAUAUUGUUACGAAAGAACCGAUGCAAUUACAAAGAAUCUUUAUUCUCAUAGAAGGGUCAUGCCUUAAACCCCCUGGAAAGAAAGAAUUAAAACUAACUUUUUGCAACAGAGGUUUAAUCAAGCAAAUAAAGUUAUUGCAAAUACAAAAGGCAAGAAAAUCAUUCAUUAGGAGCAGCAUACCUAUAUCAGGAACUCUAUUUGGAUAGAUCUUGAAAUAGAUAANNN